CUAUUACAGAUUUGUAUACCAAUAGAAGACCCUUGCUCCUUUUGAACAUGACUUGUCCAUAGCAGCCUCAUCCUUAAUAUGUAAAUCCCACCUUAAAUCUUUCAAAAACAAUUGAUCCAACCAACUGGUGGCUGAACCAACAGACUAUAGCUCAUGACCAAGCAGUCAAAAGAAAAAAAAGAAAAAAAACAAUAUGUUAAAUAGAAGGAAUCAGAUGAAGGGGAGAAAGAAAGCAUCAUAAACAAUAUUAACUAAAUAUUGUUAUAAAGAAAAUCUUAUGUGUGCUGUUUCUUUUAAAACAUUUUCCUACAUACUGAAAUGCAUAGAAAGAUACAUGAAAAGCUGAUAAAGAACAAUGAACAACACAUUAAUUUCUAUUAUUGAAACAUACAACCAUACACACAUAGUCAUGCAUAACUUCAGAUUGCACAAACACGUUCAUUCUCAUAGCUAGAGUGUACUUACAUACCUAUAGAUGAUUCAAGAAAGACCAAAUAAAGGUCACUAAAGCAAUUGAGAUCUCCAAAAGAUAAUGGGCAGCAAAAAGCAGCAAACAACAACAAAAUCACACCCAAGUUUAGCCUUAAGAACCUAGAGAUUUCAGUCAAGAAAACUAGGAAAAGAACCUUCUACUUCAAAUCAUCUUUUUAUCUUUUAAGAAACCAAGGAGGAAUGUUUUUCUAAAUUUGAAACCUAGUCUUUUUAGCAGAGGACAUAAUAAUUAUUGUGCAGUAAAUUAGUG
rnacentral:lncRNA from 1 species